AUAUUAGGUUAAGUUAUUAAGGGCGUAUGGUGGAUGCCUUGGCACUAGGAGCCGAUGAAGGACGUGACUAACUGCGAUAUGCUUCGGGGAGUUGUAAGUAAACUAUGAUCCGGAGAUUUCCGAAUGGGGAAACCUAACAGGUUUUAUCGCCUGUUAUCACUAAGUGAAUUCAUAGCUUAGUUGAAGGUAGACGUGGGGAACUGAAACAUCUAAGUACCCACAGGAAGAGAAAGAAAUUCGAUUCCCUCAGUAGCGGCGAGCGAACCGGGAAGAGCCCAAACUAAGAAGCUUGCUUCUUAGGGUUGUAGGACUGAACAUCUGAGUUACCAAGAAAUGAAGUAGUUGAAUAAUCUGGGAAGAUUAGCCAAAGAGAGUGAUAGCC
rnacentral:rRNA from 1 species